rfam:Triticum aestivum genome assembly, contig: Triticum_aestivum_CS42_TGACv1_scaffold_080408_1DS
UUUCUACUCCCUCCGUCCGAAAAUACUUGUCAUCAAAAUGGAUAAAAAGAGAUGUAUCUAAAACUAAAAUACAUCUAGUUACAUUUCCUUUUAUCAAUUUUUAUGACAAGUAUUUCCGGACGGAGGGAGUAUUUG